GAUGAAGAACGUAGCGAAAUGCGAUAAGUAAUGUGAAUUGCAGAAUUCAGUGAAUCAUCGAAUCUUUGAACGCACAUUGCGCCCGCCAGUAUUCUGGCGGGCAUGCCUGUUCGGGCGUCAUUUCAACCAUCAAGCCCCAGGCUUGUGUUGGGGACCUGCGGCUGCCGCAGGCCCUGAAAACCAGUGGCGGGCUCGCUGUCACACCGGGCGUAGUAGAUUUUAUCUCGCUCAGGGCGUGCUGCGGGUUCCGGCCGUUAAAAAGCCUUUUUUACCCAAGGUUGACCUCGGAUCAGGUAGGAAGACCCGCUGAACUUAAGCAUAUCAAUAAGCGGAGGA
rnacentral:misc_RNA from 1 species